UACGAAGGGGGCUAGCGUUGCUCGGAAUCACUGGGCGUAAAGCGCACGUAGGCGGAUCGCUAAGUCAGGGGUGAAAUCCUGGAGCUUAACUCCAGAACUGCCUUUGAUAACUGGCAAUCUCGAGUCCGGGAGAGGUGAGUGGAACUGCGAGUGUAGAGGUGAAAUUCGAUAGAUAUUCGCGAAGAACACCAGUGGCGAAGGCGGCUCACUGGCCCGGUACUGACGCUGAGG
rnacentral:rRNA from 1 species